AAUGUACGAUCGGGUUUUACACUGACACAUUCCAUUCCCAGGGAUGAGCAGGAGAGAGAUACCUUCCUCUUAUCUCAACUGCAAAGAGGUCUUCCUCUUUCACUAAUCCUCCUCAGCACAGACCCUUUAUGGGUGUCAGGCUGGGGGACAGUCUGGUCUUUCUCUUUCCAUGAGGCCAUAUCUCAGGCUGUCUCAGUGGAGAGAAACCUUGGACAAUACACAGGCUUUCUUGGGCAGAGAUCCCUGUGGCUUUCUGCAGUGCAUUGUGUCCCUGGGUACUCGAGACUGGAGAAUGGCCAUGACUUUUACCAAGCAUACUGCCUGCAAACACAUUUUUACCAAGGCACAUCCUGCACAGCCCUAAGUCCAUUAAACCUUGAGUCAAUACAAUACAUGUUUCUGCAAGCAUAGGGUUGGGGCUAGGGUUACAGAUUAACAGCAUCUCAAGGCAGAAUAAUUUCUCUUAGUACAGAUCAAAAUGGAGUUUCUUUUGUCUUCCUUUUUCUACAUAGAUGCAGUAAUAGUCUGAUCU
rnacentral:lncRNA from 1 species